GGUUCGGGAUAACGUCUGGAAACGGACGCUAACACCGGAUGUGCCCUUCGGGGGAAAGUUUACGCCAUGAGAGGGGCCCGCGUCCGAUUAGGUAGUUGGUGGGGUAACGGCCCACCAAGCCGACGAUCGGUAGCUGGUCUGAGAGGAUGAUCAGCCACACUGGGACUGAGACACGGCCCAGACUCCUACGGGAGGCAGCAGUGGGGAAUAUUGGACAAUGGGGGCAACCCUGAUCCAGCAAUGCCGCGUGAGUGAUGAAGGCCUUAGGGUUGUAAAGCUCUUUCGCACGCGACGAUGAUGACGGUAGCGUGAGAAGAAGCCCCGGCUAACUUCGUGCCAGCAGCCGCGGUAAUACGAAGGGGGCGAGCGUUGUUCGGAAUUACUGGGCGUAAAGGGCGCGUAGGCGGCCUGUUUAGUCAGAAGUGAAAGCCCCGGGCUUAACCUGGGAACGGCUUUUGAUACUGGCAGGCUUGAGUUCCGGAGAGGAUGGUGGAAUUCCCAGUGUAGAGGUGAAAUUCGUAGAUAUU
rnacentral:rRNA from 1 species